UACGUAGGGCGCAAGCGUUGUCCGGAAUUAUUGGGCGUAAAGAGCUCGUAGGCGGUCUGUUACGUCCGCUGUGAAAACCCAGGGCUUAACCCUGGGCUUGCAGUGGAUACGGGCAGACUAGAGGCAGGUAGGGGAGAAUGGAAUUCCCGGUGUAGCGGUGAAAUGCGCAGAUAUCGGGAGGAACACCGGUGGCGAAGGCGGUUCUCUGGGCCUGACCUGACGCUGAGGCGCGAAAGCGUGGGGAGCGAACAGG
rnacentral:rRNA from 1 species